rnacentral:rRNA from 1 species
AGUGAACGCUGGCGGUAGGCCUAACACAUGCAAGUCGAACGGCAGCACAGUAAGAGCUUGCUCUUGCGGGUGGCGAGUGGCGGACGGGUGAGGAAUACAUCGGAAUCUACUUUUUCGUGGGGGAUAACGUAGGGAAACUUACGCUAAUACCGCAUACGACCUACGGGUGAAAGCAGGGGAUCUUCGGACCUUGCGCGAUUGAAUGAGCCGAUGUCGGAUUAGCUAGUUGGCGGGGUAAAGGCCCACCAAGGCGACGAUCCGUAGCUGGUCUGAGAGGAUGAUCAGCCACACUGGAACUGAGACACGGUCCAGACUCCUACGGGAGGCAGCAGUGGGGAAUAUUGGACAAUGGGCGCAAGCCUGAUCCAGCCAUACCGCGUGGGUGAAGAAGGCCUUCGGGUUGUAAAGCCCUUUUGUUGGGAAAGAAAAGCAGCAGGUUAAUACCCCGCUGUUCUGACGGUACCCAAAGAAUAAGCACCGGCUAACUUCGCG